rnacentral:rRNA from 1 species
GAUGAACGCUGGCGGCGUGCCUAAUACAUGCAAGUCGAGCGAACAGACGAGGAGCUUGCUCCUCUGACGUUAGCGGCGGACGGGUGAGUAACACGUGGAUAACCUACCUAUAAGACUGGGAUAACUUCGGGAAACCGGAGCUAAUACCGGAUAAUAUAUUGAACCGCAUGGUUCAAUAGUGAAAGACGGUUUUGCUGUCACUUAUAGAUGGAUCCGCGCCGCAUUAGCUAGUUGGUAAGGUAACGGCUUACCAAGGCAACGAUGCGUAGCCGACCUGAGAGGGUGAUCGGCCACACUGGAACUGCGACACGGUCCAGACUCCUACGGGAGGCAGCAGUAGGGAAUCUUCCGCAAAGGGCGAAAGCCUGACGGAGCAACGCCGCGUGAGUGAUGAAGGUCUUCGGAUCGUAAAACUCUGUUAUUAGGGAAGAACAAAUGUGUAAGUAACUAUGCACGUCUUGACGGUACCUAAUCAGAAAGCCACGGCUAACUACGUG